rnacentral:lncRNA from 1 species
UCAUAUCCAAAAUCAUUAUGCAGGUUGAUUUCUAAACCCAUUGAACAUAAUGAUCCAACGCCAUCUCCCAAUUUUGAAUUCCCUGUAUUCGAGGCAGAGGAAGAUGAUGUUGACGAGAUUCCUGAUGAGAUUACCCGUCUUCUUGAGCACGAAGAUAAGAUCAUUCAGCCGCAUCUUGAGAACCCAUAAACAGUCAAAUUGGGGUUUUACAAAUGUAAAAAAAAGGGGGGCGAAAAAAAAAUAAAAUAAAAUAAAAAAAUAAAAAAAG